UGUACAUACAGGGUCCCCAUCAUUCGGGCACCCUAUGGGUGUAUGGAUGGCUUCCCAGACAUCACUCCAGGCUGGCCACUGGCCCUGAAGAGAAACAUGGAUGUAUUGCAGUCAGCUGCAGUUGGUGUCGAAGUAACAGGAGGGGUGAGUACUGUGGAUCGGUUGCUGAGUCAACGCCAGAACUCCUGGCAUACUGCAUUAAAUCAGACUUCAAAUGGCUUUCUCCACUCCUGGCUCCUGAGGUCUGAUCAGCUGGGCUGAAACUCCAAUGCCGCAGCCAUCUUGAACACACCCUAUGGGUCUCAAGGCACCUGUCCAGAGGAUUUCCACCUCAGAUUUGUAAGCCCUAGU